GCCGGCUGGGGAACGGGGGGUGUGUCAAAACCCCCAGAAAUUGGGGGGGAAAAAAGAAGUGUUGGGAAAAAGAAGUGCCGAGCUGAAGUUGCUGGCGCUAACAAGCUUAUUUUGCUGCGGUUCUUUACGGAGCGAGGUUUUGCACUAGGGCUGUUAAGAGAAGUGACGGAGAAGGUUGUUAAUACCAAUGAAAACAUAUUUUGAUCAGCUAAAAAAAAAUAAAUAACAACAACAAAAAAAAACAACCCAGAGAGACAUUCAUCUGCAAAGAUAAUUGCAUUAGAAUCAAAACAAACAUUUCCUUGAAUAUGUUAUUUCAUUUAUCCUCUGUCACGGGGAGGAGGGGGUCUCCAAGCAGGACAAGGUAAAAAUUAAUUUUUAAUAGAUUUUUUUUGACAAAUUGGGAUCGUUCCCUGUGGCACCCCCUCCCACCUGGAAAGAGUUUUACUUAUUUGUAAAUAAUUCCAAAUCUGAUGUAGUGUGGAAGGGAGCAGCACACCAAGGAAGAGACAACACCACCAAGACCCAUCCUCUCCUUAGAGGUGAAAAAGAGCAAAACUGUGUUACUUUCCUGAGGAAGAAAGCUGACAAUAUAUAUAUUUUUCUCCCUAAAUAUAUAUCUGUAGUCUUCACCAGAUGAUUAAAAAUCCCUCUCACUUUUCCUACCAGACUUGUGCUAAAGUAAGCCUUGCUUUCAAACAGUUUUUCAGCUGUGUGUGUGACAGGCAUUGGCUGAUCUGCUGAUGCCCAUUCGACAGGCACUGUUGAGCUAAAGUGGUGUGACGGCACAGUUUUGUUAAGCUGUGAACAAAGGGCUGGAGAUGCCUCGCUGGCAUCAUCCAUGUGCAUAUUGGCCUUGUCACAGUUUUGCUUGAUUUAAUGCUCUGUUUAUUCCUAGAUAUUAGAACUUAAAUUCCAAACAAUAUGUUUUCAUAUACUACACACAAACUUUAUUUUAAAAGCUUUUGCUCCCGAGAACCACAGAUUCGUUUGUCUGCCCAACAUCCGUGCGGCAAGUGCUCAAAACGUAGCUCCCAGAAAAAUAGGUGGCCGGUAGCCUCUUAACUGUUAUCCAGUUAAAAAAUGGGAUUUCAGUUUUAAAAAGUCUUAGAAGGGUAAAAGAUUUAUUUCUUCUUUGAUCAUUUGUUGAGAGUUGUUAUUUAUUUCAACAGUGGAUUUUCUUAUAAGCUCCUAAGGAGAGGUUACCCCGUGUGCAGGCAGGGCGCGGGAUGGACUUUUCCUGUGCCAUAUCAUCCCAGGGGUGUUGCUGGGAUAAAAGCAAUGUCUUACAAAUACCUGUAAGCAUAGUCAGGGGACUACUGACAGGCAGAAAGACAGCUGGGUUAGUGGAAGGGAGCAGGAAACCGGAUUAAGAUUAGAAUAUAUAUCUCUAUGUUCAUUAGGUGGCCACAACUUUGUAUCUCAGCAGUUCAUCAAGAGAAAAUGUGGGCAUGUGGAGCUAUAUUUAGUCUUGGUUCUCUUCUCUUAGAGAUGCCGCAGGCUUUAUCUGGAGAAAGUUUUGGGGUUUUUUCUCCCAUUCUUCGUCGCCUUUCUAAACUCCCUUCAGGUUUGCUGCAAGUGUUUGCUAAGAGAUUAGUUAGGCAGCUUCCAUGGCGGAGGUAGCCCUGGGAGGCAGCUCGUUGCUGGGAGGAAUGCUCAGUAGGUCAGUGCGUGAAGAUAGAAGGAGCUGCCCAACUGAGGCCAGGGAUCAGGUAUUUUCCUCUUUGUCUCCUACCAGAGACAAAGUGCUUAUGGAAAGGUUUGUGGUGAGACAUCAAAUCCCAGCAGGAGCACAGAUGUUCUCACUUUUACAGGCUUACCAAUGAACAUUUCAGCUUAAACAAGUUUAUGGAAUAAAAGAUUUAUUUCUUUUUCCCUAGUAGAUGCAGCAUCUUAGUUGGACUGUGCAAAUAUUUUAUCGCUCCAGCCACUCAGGAUCCUUUGGUCCAGGGCACAGGGCUGUGAGUGGGGAUGGGAGAGAGGGAAGGAGGGGGCAGAGGGAGCGUUCAGCAAAAUGAAAGUAUUCCUUCUCCAAACAGUGCAGUCUAGAGCCUAAAUCUGAAAUUGAAUCUGCUGAGCAAAACCUGUACAAUUUUUCUACCUGCCCUCAGUCUGCUUCCUUUCAGGGAUGACAGUUUUACUAACUGAAAUGAAUGGGCUCUCUCGCUCCGGUACCUUUCCUCAGUGCGCGUUUACAUCGAGUACUUCAAACACAGAGCUGGGUGAUAUAUGUAGGGGGACAGCUUGCACAGAAUAAGCUUUAAUGGUUAAUUUUUGUAUAGCUUUAUAAAUGAAAGGGACUUAAACCUACUAGCAGUAUAGAUCACAAGACCUUAUGUGGUCUAUUCUUCUCUAGAUGCACAAGAGAUUUACGUGCCUAAGUCCCAUAAGAGUUAAUGGGAGUUACGCAUGUAAAUCUCUUCCACAGUGAGAUAAUAGACCCUUUUAUGUAUGGAUAGCUGGAUUCUUACAAAAAUCACCUACUGAACAGUAGACUUUAUGUCCUGCUCUCUUAACAAAUAUUUAUAAAGCGAGCAGGCCAGCAGAUGAGACCAGGAGCCCCCCAAGUUGCCUCCGAAUCAGAGAGACCCUUGUGCUCCCAUGGAGACAAUCUCGGGUCUGCCUCAUCCCCAUCCUUCCUGGUCUCAGUGCACUGUGGGUGACAUUGCUGGUCUGGUUGGGAUGUGGUCUCACCGAGGCUGUUGUGGUGUCUCACUUCUUGGCCAGUCCCGCUUGGUGGAGGCUUCUUGCUCUGUGCAUUGCACAGGAGAUUGGGAGGGUGAGAGCUGCCACCUCUCUCCUGUAAAUGUCAGGGUGCGCCUUCCCUGUGUCCCUGCCCCUCAAUCCACCUCUGCUGGGGGAUUUACAGCCCCAAAGUGGGAAACCCCUCAGCAGAACCGUCCCAGGUCACUGGUAGAGCACAGUGGUGGUGACACUGUGUCCCAAAGCCCAGGUGCUGCUAGUGCUGCACAUCUGCUCCCUUCCCGCUCCGGUGCGGCCUCGCUCCCUGGGAAAGCCGGCAGGCUUUGCCUCCAAUGGGAACGGUCUCGCGCUUCUCCGUGGGGAUAUAUAUAUAACUUGGCUGAUCUGUAUCUGCCAGCCAUGAGUCAGAUCGAGAUCUUUUCCCCCUGUAACAUGUAGCUGGAGAUAGCCGGUGCCACAGCACACGCGUGUCAGGAACGAUCCCCGCGUUUUGCGAGCCGCGGCUCUUUUUGCCAUCAUUGUUUCUUUCCAUCACUCGCCUGCUCCUUCCCGAUAGCGAUCUGAGGGAGUUGGGCAAGCUGCAGACUUGCCAACCCUCAGCUCCCAGGCCUGGCAGAGCACAUUCUGAAAAAAAAAAAGCAACCAACCCUCUAACCCUUGCACUGUGAGGCUAUCAGAUUAAAUCCAAGGGUUUCUACCAGCGGCAGGAUGGGAAAAGCCCAUUGUUUGUUGAUUAUCGUAUCAUCAGCCGCGGCUGAUACGAGGAUGCUCAAGGAAAACACACUUCGGUUACAGUUGAUUUUCAGAUUCCAAAAUGGUGCUGCAAAGUCUGUGCAUGCCUAAUUAUAUUUUAUGCUAGGCUGUGCGAUACAAAAUGUAUGCUGCAGCAAUCAGUGAGUUAACAGUAUCAAUCAAUUUGUAAACAGAUGAAGUCACUCAUUCCCAAACUGGUUUUCCAAAAACAAUUACUAAAUUACAAUAGAAAAAAAUUGUACAGUUACUGUAUUUGUGUGCUGUGUUACAAUCAACAUACCAGGGAAACAAAACAAUUUAAUGCAGAAAAAUCAUCAUUCAUCUAUAUUAUAAUUGCUUCUUUUUCACAUCUACAGGGCGGUUAAUUAAAAUUGUGAUUAAAUGCGGUCGCGCUGCCUAAGAUGUCUUGCCCAAAACAGGUGGUACAGAAUUUAAAAGUAAAAAAAAUGUAAUUAGCAUUGGAAAUUGAGAAAUUGCCUGUAAGAAUCAGUGUUAAUUUCAGUCAGUGAUGAGGUAAUUUAUAAAUGAAUGCAGUGGAGGCUGUGCAAAUGCACAAUUGCCUUCCUGCCUAUUCUUAGCAUUCUCAGCAUGCAGGUGAAAAUGUUUUCAAAAUAUUGAGGUAAUUUGAAAAUCAAUCCGUGCAUUCCGUAUCUUUCUUCCUCCCCAGUCGCAGCAAACGCUGAACGAAUGCUGCCAGAGAUGGCACAAUGCAUCAGUUCUGCACUUUUUGGGGAGUGAUAUUCUGUGCGUCGUGGCAUCAGUUGGAGUUUAGCUACACCAAAUGUUUGGCUAAGAUCCUUUACAAAGGCCAAAAAUGUUGAUUGAAGUUCCUGGUAAUCCCAAAUGUCUUCAGCUCCGGUGUGUGUUUAAACAAUGUGGUAUCAAAAAAAAAGUAACAGCAACCUGCAGCGAGUUGAAAUAGUGCAGCAGAGAUACCACGAAAUAAAAGAGAUGCUAAUACGGCACGGAAAUCAUAAUGAUUUCUUGUUUAAAAUUAGUACAGCGCACUCGAAAAGCCUCGGUAGUACUGAUGCAUUCUGUAGGAACUCUCUUUUUCAACAUGCAUUUCAAAUUUCAUCCUGCAACCAUGAAAGAAUUGUUAACUAGGUUAUGCAUACAGAGAUUUUCCCUGAGAUGAACUUUGUUUAUCGGCAUUUUGGUGCUUUCUCCUAAAGUUUCAGCUAGCAAAUGAGAAAUGCUAAUUCCUAACAACAACAAAAAAAUACAACCUGCAGAUACAAAAAGCUGGAGGCAAACCUGACAACAAACAGAUAUUAAAGAUUUAAAAUCUUCUUGACAGUCAAAAAAAAAAAAUAAUCCAAGGCACACAUUGCUGGAAUUGACAUUUCCAUGAUUUGAACGUCCCCCUUCUUCUCAACUCCACAGAGAGCCCUGGCUUAGUUGUCCCCCCCAUCCAUUUAAAAAUAACUCAGACUUUCGAUAACGUGGAUUGCUGGGCUGGAAUAUGGGAAAGCAGUUGGAGUUUUUGAGCAGGGACUUACAGGUGUUGGUAUCAGGUUGCUGUAAAACACGAGCACAGUGGCUUUUGAGCAGAACAUGCUUUAAUUAAAGCAAACUGGUCUUCCUGCAGAAAGCCUGAUCUACCCAUGUAAUUUAACUAUUGAAGCCCUUUCUAUUAAUUUUUCCUUGACAUAUAAUAAUGAACUUUUCUUCUGGAUGACACUUGGUUGUAGAUUUUUUUUUUCCCCUUCCUUUUGAUAAGCCCUGUGUACUUCAGAGGCGAUUUCGAUGCUAUUUAAUUUACUCAUACAAAAACCCCUGCGAAGGGAUUAGACCCAUGAAGGGACAAGGGGAAGGCCACGCCAUGCUGGUCCAUGCUGGGAUGCUGAGAGGAGGCUGCAGCCCGGCUGGGCAGAGGAUGUGGGUGGAUAUGUGGUGGGAUGCUCUCCUGGCCCUGCGCUGGCCGAGCUGGGGAAGGUGAGUGCAGCAUCAAGUGCUCUCCAGCAAGUCAAUUAACCUCACCAUGCUCCUUUUCCCUGUCUAUGAGACAGGGAAAUACUGCUGAACUCAUUCACAGGGCUUUUGCAGAGCUUAAUAUUUCCAAAGCACUCUGCCAUUCUGUGGGACUGAGGAAGAGCAAGUAUCAUCCGUUGUUUCGUCAGAGGGCGAGCGGAUGCCAAGGAAUUUGUCUGAGAAAAUUACAAAUGUAUGUUCCUAAUAACCAGAAUCUCAGAGUUUAUUAUACAACUGGUUAUUCUAAUUUAGAGGAUGAUAUUGCUUUUAACUGCCCCCCCUCUCCCCAGUUUUCUGCCACUGAAUAUAAAGAAGUGAAGGGUAAUCACUGAAGCAAUGAUGAUUAUUGACUGAAAGGUAUUUUACAAUGUGAGCUCCGUUAUGUGGAGCUUAGCAAGCAGCUGCACUGGUGCAUUUGAGCUCCUUAUUUUGGUAUAGGGGUUCUAAAAAUACAUCAAAAUCCCAGUGGACUGGCAUAGGUGCAAAUCCUGACCCGACUGCAGUUGAUGGUCAUACCUGGGUGACUCUGUGGGGACAAGGAACAGCAAAGUAGGGUUUGAAACCCAUGGUUGGUUUUAGUGGAAAACUGCAGGAUCAAGUUGGUUUGGAAAUUCAGGCUCGUCAAACCAAGCUUAAGUUUGGGCUUUUUCUUUUCUGUCAUGUGUGAACUCAAAGGAAAGCAGGAGUUCAGGUACUGCUCUGCUGCCAUAUGCCAGUCCUCAACUUCAGCCACAUCUUUUUGGGUCUGAGUUUUCUGGGCCUGUUCCCAUGAGGAAAGACCAAAUGCCAUGAGAAACAUGAGCAGGAUUUGGCCCCGAACAGGCAGAGCGUACUACUGGAUAAACUGAGCCAUGGUCAUUGUAGUGGUGGGGAAGUGCAGCGAAGGAAAAGUAGCUUCGUGGAUUCCUAAAAUAGAAAGUAAACGUAAAUAUUUCUACUUUGCAUGUCAGAUUUCAAUCACUUCUCAAAACAACUGAGCUUCUUGAUUUAAUUAAUUAUGGCUCCUUCUUUUUUUUUCUUUUUUUCUUUUCUUUUUUUUUUCUUUUCCUUUUUUCAUGUGUGUGUGUGUGUGUGUGUCUUUGGAAAGAGCCAAAUGAAAAUAUCCUCUUUGUUUCCCCUUUGGAACUACUGGAGCUUUCCUCGAGUUUUAACUCUUCCGCCACCCCAACACCCCCAGCCUUCGUUUUUCUAUGCUCGUCUUAUCGCUGCUGUCCCAUGGCAAGCCCCAAAGCCUGGAACAUUUUGUAACGACUAUGUGACAAAUUGUUGGGCUUUUAUUCACGUUGGACAUCUUUUGCCAGGACUGCUUGUUGUUUUUUCUGUUUGGCUGUGUCAUGGGACCAAAGGUGGCUGCUUUUGUGCAGCAUGUCAAAUCUGGUUAACAUGCAGCCAUUUAUCUUUAAAACCCACUCCUGCACAAUGGCAGGGGUGUAUUGGGCCACUUGUAUGGGCUCCAAGCAUCAAACAUAUAGCUAUACACUAAAUUUUUUCUCUGCCAUCCUCUCUAUAUGUGUGGAUGCACCUCGGGCUGAGGCACUGCGGUGAGCAGGUCAUGCAGCAGACAGGAUGUUUCAUAAUUUUGGGAACCUUUUAGAGACAAAUUGUACAGGGCAAGUGUAGUGUAACUGAACUGCUGGUUGCCCAGUGAAGUGUAGAAAAUCAGAUACAGCACAGCCUGAAAGAAUGAAACAAGAAUUCAUAUCUAUGUAUGUACACGGUACUUUAUAAACAAUUCAUAUACAGAGAAAAAUACAUUUAUUCUCUUUUUCUCUGCUUAUAUUUGAGGAUUGUGCAUGGGGUGUGUGUGUAUAAAUGUGUUUCUGUGCAUGGUAUAUAUUCAUACAAAUAAUAUGCCACAGGAUAUGGGAAUAGUCGUAUGUGUGAUGCAUUUAUAUGCAUAAGUGGUAGGUUUUCAGGUUAAUGCCUGCUUGACUCUGUGUGUGUGUGUGUAAAUGAUGGAAAGGUGCUCAGCAAGAUGAAAAGAUGAAUUAUCCUAGAAAUAAAAUAAAAAAGCCCCAAACUUCCACAGCAAAGUUUGCUGCUUGCUUGUUUGUGGGUGUUUUUCUAAUGUUUAAGUCACGCAGAAACACAUCUGAUGAACGUGAUUUUCUUAUAGAUAUGGCAAUAAUUAUCAAAUAAAGAAGCUGAGGAAGAAAUGGGAAAGUUUGAUUCACCAAGAAAAUGGGGGCUGGCUGCUCAGUCUUGGUGCCUUUUUGCAGUUGAAGCAUUUGAGAUAGCAGGACUCAAUGUUUUUUUAAUGAUUUGCUGUGUUGUGUAAUAAUUAUACAUAUAGUGCAGUGAGGUUACUUGGAGGAACACCGCACUAUGUAUGGGGUUUUUUUUGAGUAAAGGACCCAGGAGAUUGCUUUUCACUUUGAAAACAAUCCCUAAUAUCAGGAAAAUGCUCUGUUUGUUUAUGCGUACAUAAUGCAAGUUUGUCCGCCUGGGAACUGCAGCAAAUGGGAGAAGUAUGCAUGGAUUUCACAGGUAACAGGAUUACGUGGGCACAUAAUUGAUCCAUUUGGAGAAAAAAAUGACAGUGCUCUAAAGAUGCCUAGGCUUUGGAGAUGGAGUUUAUGAAACAGGCAUUUGUAAAUUCAAAGGAAUCAAUAUGUCAAUUUUAUUACAUCUCAGGACCAGCUGGGCAUUAAAGGAGCAGUAGCCUUUUUAAAAUUGCAGCUGCGUAUUCUUGCAUUGUGUACCUUUCUUAAAAGGCUUUGAAUUUCAGAAAACGUACUUUUAGCAGCGCUUUGCACCUUUUCAGUGACUGGUCUGCAUGGACAAAAAAAAGACACAAAACAUUACAUUGUGUUAGUUUUCCUCUUAAGCCUCGAUUGGUAAAAACUGCCAGGCUUCAAUUACACCAUGCAAAAUUCUUACUAAUAAAUAUACACAUGGAAGGAGGCAAAUGCCUGUUCCUAUCCCAGAAGUUGAAAAAAAUAUUUGAGGUUUUACAUCGAGGGCUCAGCCGAUGUUGCAGGGGCAGCAUCAUAACAUGAGGUACCUGAAAGCAUCCAUUAAAUAUUGCACGUGAAAUAUGGUCUGAAUCAUUGUAAAAUGAUAUCUUCUCUUCCUUCUCAGUAGGGUUUAAACCCUCAGAUGAUUAAAUUUAGUGAAAAGCUUAGGUUGCUGUUUCUGUUUGGUUUUUUUUUUUCCAGAGGACAGCAGUCUUCAGCAGUUCAGAUUUGGAAAUGCAACUUUUCACACAAAUUUGCAGUGCAGCAUGGAGGGAGAUGUGAAUGGAAUUUGGGUUGCAGCGGUGGUUGGUGCCCAUAGGCUCUCAGGGACAACCCAAAGAGACUCUGAAUCCCAAAGAUGCAUUCUCAAAGAAUUAAUAGUUUUGCCUUUGGAGAGCAGGUUAUCCAAAGAAAAAUUGAAGCUUUCCAGAAUAUGUUGCACACUCCUCUACCUGAAAAGCAUUUGAGUGAAGGCUGUGUUGGCAAAAUCCAUGCAUGUCUCAAGCUUUCAGUAGAUAUAGGGUUGUGUUCUCUCCUUUGCUUGCUGGUGGUGUUGUUGUGGACCUGAUGGCUACAGCUAUUCUGCAACUCCAAAAUUAUUAUUAACAAUGCCAAAAAGAAUCACUGAUUUGGGGUACCAGUCUCUGGACAACUCCAGUGCUUCCACACAUCUGAAAAUACACUUAAAAAUAUUUGAGUCUUUGAGUCCAAAGAAAGAGGUACCCGGGAUUAAUAACUACUGCUCCCUGAGACUUCUCUGCCUUCUCAGUUUCUCUUUUAUCAUGACCCUCUCUGAUCUUCUAUAAUGUUCCUCCAUCUCCUUUUGCACAGCUUCUUUUUAUUUGAGCUCACACUUUUCAGGCCAGCCUGGCUACAGACAAGGUCUCUCUGUGGUGCUCCAACCUGCACAGUAAUUCUACUUUUUCUUGCUUGAGGAUCUCUGCUUUCCACAAGGUGUUCCUGUGUAAACGAACGUGCCCUGUUUGUGUUUCGCCAUCCUCGCUACUGCGCACCCAAAUGAGCAGCAUGAUUAAGAAUCCUGUAAAUUUUUGAAAGGAAACGGAUGGCUGCCCUACUAGAACAUAAUUACACCGUUCCAACAUCCGCAGCUCACUGCUGCAGCCGAGUUGGAGAACAGCAGAAAUUAAUAAUAUAUAAUAGCAUCAUUCUCGUAAUUUAUAAAUGAAAUAAAGUAGAGAGGAGAUUCUGCUGAUAUGCAUUUUCUUCUUAAUUCUGCAAGACAAAGUAUAGAUUAGAAUUUUACUGGGGUGAAACCUGGCCAGCAAUAUCACACUAGUUGCAAGUGUAGGGCCUGAUUCAUGAGAGGGAUUUUUGCUUAAGGAAAAGAGCUAAUAUCUUUUAUUGGACUAGGGGAAAAAAAAAAAGAGUAUACAAAGCCCUCUAAAGGCAGCUCUUAAGGCAAGGAGGCCAGGAAACCGCCACAGAUCCUCUACCCACUUUUUAGCUCAAUUCAUUUGUAGGUACUGCAGGAAGAGUUUGCUGCGUGGUGGAAUUUUUUCCCCUGGCUAAAAUAAUACACUAUCAUAGGUCACCCCCUCAGAGAGCAGAGAGGAUUAAUCAGCUAAAGAUGUUGUCUAAUCUCCUAUUUUUGUUGAAAAACAGCAAUGUUUUCAAAAACAAUAUUUUGAGCUCCAGAGAUGUGCCAAAAGGAGCUGUACUGCGAACCCCUGCUCAAGCCAAGCCUUGGAGUUGGUGCUGUAAUCUUGCUUCUCAACCCCUGCUUAAAAAAAAUACGACUUUCUGAAGACAAAGAAGUAUUAUUUGUAAAGACUAGGCUGUAUGACUUUUAUUUUUUCCACUGCAUGCUAAAUGGCUUUUAUUUUACUUCUGCAGCUGCCCAGAUAUACUUGUCUGGGUGACGGCCCAGCUGAGUUCUGCUCUUCCUGGGAUAAACUCAUUUGGGAGAGCUACCAAAACCCCACAGCAGUGUUUACUUACAGGUUAUUUAGGGGUAUUUUUAUCAAUUUUGACACUGUAAGACUCUAAAGAAUGAUAACUGCUUUGAUGGGAAAGGUCAGCAUGGACUCCCCAAGUUUAACACAGCAAACACAAAUGUACACAGAAAUAUUUCUAUUUUAAACUAAGGAAUAUGUUUGAGUCUUAUUCUUCUAAAGAGCCCCCUUAAUAAUUUGUUUCUGAGGAAAUAUGUGCAUAUACAGAUUUAUUUCAUUAACAGGUAUUUAUUUAAGUGGGCUGCACUGUAUUUAAAUCUCUGAAUAGUUUCCAUUACUUCCUCCGCUCACUUACUUCAAGUUGACUAAUUUUAAUAAGGCUAAGGUGCCUAGGGUCUUAUUGAGUGUUCAGUUUGAUCAAUAUGGCUAAAUUAAAAUAGUGCAAAAUAUAAGCAAAUGUACUCUAACAACUCAGUGAAAAAUGUGGAGUGCACCAAACAUUGAUUAGCGUUCCACAGACAUUAAUUUGUUGUUUUAAGUACACUAAUGCUGCUCAGAAGCUGCUCAGGCACACCAUCCACCCCUCUGCAGCCCCGGUGGCUUUCAUGGCACUGCUCUCAGCCACAGGCAGAAUUUGGCUCUGUGUCCUGCAGAAAACAGCCUGGGCUCACCAAACCUGGCCCAUUCCAGCAGCAUUCCUGCACUGCUCGCAGAGAAAGCUUGGAUCACACCUAAGGGUAGCAGAAGGAGGACAGGCCCGAUUACUUGCACGAGUGGAGACUGUUUAAUAAUCAUAUUCAUUAGGAAUUUGGGGCCAUACAUCAAUUCUAUACGUGCGUUUUUAAGACAGGCCCAGACUCUUAGGGAAGUGGUUCUACGUGCAAGAGGGUAUUUGUUUUUGCCCUCCUGUAACACCACAAUAUUAUUGUCAUGAAAGAUUAAUGUCAACCCCCACCUGGUAUUAAAUUGCUUUUGGUAGCCCUUGCAUUCAUGUCUUUCUGCACAAGACAAAACCACUUUUAAAGUAACUACAUGCAUCCUCAAGUGGAAUGGCUGUUAUUACUGGGUUACAUUUUAUUUUUCAUAUGUUUUAGUUGUUGUGGUAGCUGUUUUUCCCGUGGAUAUGAUGUUCAGAGCAAGGAUAUGGGAUCAGGAACUUGAUUUUAGGGCAGGAAAAAAAAAGACAAGCUUUAGAAAGUAGGAUCUUAUCGGAGUCUUGUUGAUGGGUGUUGUACAUGUUAAUUAUAUGAUUUGUUUCAUACUCUAACAAAAAGCUGAGUUUUCCACAUACUAAAAAUAAUUUGGUUUUCCUUCUCAUUCCCCUCCUUUUUCUCGGUUAGUGAAAGCCUGAGAUUAUCAUACUUUGACAUCCAAUGCUUGCACAGAGUUUUUAAUGAUUUCUAAAAAUACAGAAGCAACUCUUUAACAAUUAUACUUUCAUAUAAUUUUAAACAGUUUCUGAUAUCUUUCUUGUUUUUUUAGUAGUUUUUCCCUCUACCUGUAGUGUGAUCUUUCUGCUUAUCUUUAAUCUCCUUGGUAAGUGAUAUUUUCUCUAACAGUUCUUCCUUUCCCUGAUACCAUCUUGUCCUAUGUGGCCAAAAAAUAAUUUCACAUGAGCAGAAGCUCAUUUAAUGGGAGGUAAAUCAGCACAGAAAGAAAGAUAAGAAGAAAUAAACAGGAGACAGUUCAUGUGUUAUAAAAAAAAAAAAGAAAAAUAAAAACUUGAAAGCAAAUGCAGUCGCAUUUAGGAGAAGUAAAUUCUGUGAAGAUGGAGUAAAAUAUGAAAAGCAUUUCUCUAGUUUAAACUCCCCAAGUAGAGCUAUAAACAGCAGAAGCAUUUGGAAGUUCCCCCCACCUUUUUUUUUUUUUUAAAAUAAAGCUGGAUCUUCAGCUUCUUAACCUUCCACAUGACAAGUAGAGCACACUGAGCAAAAGCAAUUUUUAAGUCUCUUAACAAACAUCUCAAGUGAGGAGAACAGUCCAGGUGCAGAAGAACUGACUUUUCAUUUGUAACUAUGCCAAAAAAAGUGCUUAGGGUUUGUUGUUGUUGAUGAUGUUUAGCUUUGGUGUGUGACAAUCUUGAUUUUUUCCAGCAUUUUACAUGUUUGGAGUUUUUAAUAUCAAAGGUAUUGCUCUCUGUAAACAAGUGUAAGUUUACCAAGGCAGCUUCACUUACACUCUUCCCUUGUAAUCAGAUGUGGAAAUUACACCCUCCCUUUUGGCUACAUGAUAAUUAUACAUUUCAGCAUACAAAGGAUUGUCUCUGUUUCAGUUGCUGGGAUGAAACAGUGAAGGCACUUGGGAAAAUAUAUUAUUAUUUUAAAGGACAGUGCCAUAGCAGUUUUUAGUAAAAGUGAAGUUUGUAAUCACAACUAUGAUCAAGAUACUUUGAUACUUAUGUAUACAAACAUAUUUCUAUAUAUGAGGGAGAGCAAGAGAGAGGGAGAGUAGUUAAAAAUAAAAUUAAAUGAAGUUACAUGAGCACAGAAGGUGAAACUUAGCCCAUGUGCCCAGGGCCAGCAGUCAACCUUCUCCCUGCUUAAAUCUCACCAAAGCUUUAUCUUGAGGGUGAAUUUUAUCUCAAAAACAUAAUUUAUUUAGAGAGUUUAACAAAGUUUGUCUGGCUUUGUCUUGCUUUUCUCCCCCUUCUUUUUCCUGGCUGUUCUAUUUCACUCACUUAGAAAUUUAGCCUGAAUCGCUUGUGCAUCUAUCAAUUUCCUUGCAAAUGCUGGGUGCAGAAAGAAUUCAGAAUCAAGCAUUGCUCGGAAAGAGCUGUGGGAAAAAAAUUACAUAUGCAGCAAAACAUGUUAGAGUUGUGUUUUGACAGUUUCAUGACCAAGCCAAAAAAUAUACAUUUUUUUUUGUACCUGGCGCAGUUUCACAAAAAUGUCCCCUCAGGGAAUAGUCAUUUUUUGUCAGAAUCAACUGUUUAUUUACUUAAAAAUCCAAAAGUUUUGCCUUGCAUUAGAAUCAGAAUUGCUGAAGGUUAAAGUGCAAAAUCAGCUCGCCGUGUUGCCUUUGGUGUAAAAGCAUGGUUUGUGUCACAAGAGAGGGAUAAAAGCGUCAGCAGGGACACAGGAUGCAAUGCAAAUGGGACACACGUUAAAAAUGGGGAAAGUGAGGUGUGUGAGGUCUCUUGCUGUGCAUCCACAGCCAAGCCCUGGCCCAAUGGCAAGUGCUGGGUGACCACCUGGCCCUGCCACUGCUGUGACUGAGCGCUGGUAACACUCCUUGGGGCUGGACACAAUGGGUUUGUACAACUCAGCCCAAGCCUGGCAGGGUUUGUACGGUGACAAGAGUGUUGGGAGCUUUGCAGCUGUCCAUGGAGAUGUUCAUGGCAGGCAGAACUUUGAGUGUCCCUCUCUUGUGCACCUUUCUGAGUGGGAGGGAUCAGGAAGGACUCAGGGCUUCCCACCAGGAUGGUGCACACCAGUGGAAGAAGCUGACCUUGUGUCUGAGGUUGACCUUGUGUCCUGCUCCAAGAGUGCUGCCAGUCCUGUUUCUGUGUCCAAAUGCAACCUAAAUGUCGUGCCAAUGUACAGAGUGUGAGGCUGGGGAGCCCAGGGUGGGACUGUGGCCUCCCUGCCUUCAGGGAGGGGUUAUCCCCACUUCCCCCACAUUAUUCAGGCCAUACAGGCAUGCUUGGGACAGAACCCAGGUCAUAAACAACUCCUGAGAUCACGGGAAUAUCAGAAGAUUUAGUGACUUUUAAAUCAAUGUAAUUGUACCAGUAAAGAAGAAUUAGGUCUCCCACCCUGAAGUUUUUUUCCGGGCUAAAACUUGGUGCUCUCAGCUGAGGGAUUAUUUUUCUUUCAUUCUCACUUUUAUCUGUGUAUGCACAUAAACAAUUAAUACUUUUUGCCUGUAUCAGUUGAUAAGACUGCAGAUUAACAGAAAUGCACUGUGUCAGAUGCACUUUUGCCUAUAUAGUUACCUCGACUGCAGCUGCAAACUGUUGGGGCUGGCAGGCUGACCUCUCACACUGGCUGCCAGCCAUGGCCAGUGAAGGAUUUUGAGAGUUUUUUUACUAGGAUUUUUAACAUAACUAUUUAUUUGGGGAAGCAAUUUGCAUCAGGGGAAAAAAAAACCCCAACCCAAAUGUAAAUACAGAUUUCCCCAGGAGAUUAAAAGUAGUCCAAAACUAAUAGCCUAAUCUAAUUGACAUAAUAAUCAUCACAGAAUAUAUCUGAGGGGUCUAAUCCUACCCUCGUGGUCUCUCUCUGAAGUCAGGGACUCAAUAUACCUGUCUGGAUUUGAGUUUACCCUUCAUAUCCCACUUAUAGCAGGGGAGCAGCUUUUGUCUCUAUGGUGAAUAAUAUUUUGCAAAUUAGUCUUCACUUUAAAAAAAAAAAAAGCAAUAUAUAAGGUGGGGAGGGAAUCUCUCCUGACUCACACUCACGGGGCGGAGGUCACAGCCGGAGCUACUCUGGUAGGAAAGAAUUGAGCAUCACACCAAAAAAUAACAUGAAAACCGUGAGUCAAACUGAGGAAAAGGGAGUUAUUCACAGAUAAGGACAGUUCUUCGUCCUGACCAAGUGUUAUCAUUACUGUGGCAGUUAAAGGUGUUCCUCCAGCCUCCUUAACUUUGCCUUUUUCCCCGUGGAUUUAUUAGCUGUUCCUUUUCCCUGCCCACCUCAGAGGCCCUGUGUUUGCCCAGCCUGACAAGCCAAUACCCAAUCCACAGGGUUAUCACUGCUCCAAAGCAGGCAGGGCUGAGCCCAAGGCAGUGCUGUGGUGGGAGGAGGGACUGCCAGCCGUGGGGAAGUGAGGUGAGGUCUCCCUGCACCCCGCAAUCCUCCCUGGGCUCUUUGGGAAAAGUUCUGUCCCGACUUCCCAAAAGUCAGGCGGCCUUUUGCAUUUGUAUUUUCCUUGAGUGGAGGGUCUGGGAGCACAACUAAUGUGAAUAUGGCAUAUGUACCAUAUAACUUCUGAGGUGCUUAUUCCCACAACAACCUAGGAAGUAUUUACAGUGACCCCACUGUGCUACCUGGGGAAUUUCUCCCCAGGUGACAGAAUCAAUGUAUGAUUUUUUUUUUUUCCCCACAGCAAAUUAAAAAUAACCCCUAAAAAACUCCCCAGAGUUGUUAGGGCAGAGACACCUCUUCCACCAGCACACAGAUAUGAUAUAGCUUUAAUUUGUAUUCAUCUUGUCCACUGGGGCUAGAAGAUGGAGGAGCUAUUAUGAAACCUUUUUUUUUUUUUUUUGAAUUUUCUUUAUUCACUGUUUACUAUGCCAGGCUGACAUGAUAUGAUUUGUGCGUUGCAGGGUCACAACAAGCUACUUGCAGGACAAUUUGCUGAAUCAAGAGGGUGAUUGUGUCUGGUGCCAGUCAGUCGCAAUUAGGGCCAGGAUCAGGGAGGCCCAGAGCUUGUGUAUCGUCUUGGGCAAACCUCAUAGAAAUCAGCUCACCUGAAACUAAUUGUCACAACAGAGACCUUAUGCAAAUGAGCCCUAGGGUUAGCGUGGGAAAAGAAAAACUGUCGCAAAGAUAGGUGACCUGCUGAGCAGGGGGUCUGUUGCUGGGGAAAUCUUUGUUCAAUGAGUUAAAAAAAUGUUCGCAUUGUUCCAAAUCCAAGAAAAACGUAGCAGAUCCUCUCCCUAAGAAAGCGUGGCGAGCACACUCAUCUGAAAGUCCAAUAAAGUGGCAGCCAGCUUUCGAGCCGGUAAUAAAUUGGAAGUCUUUAUUCUUUAUAAGGGCUGCAGAAGGAAAAUGAUUUUACUUUGCAAAGGGGCCUUUAAAGUUUAGCAGCUCGCAGUGAGCCGGCGUUUAAAACUUUGCUCCCUGCCUAACCUGUUGGAUCCCAGCGGAUUUCCUGACCUGAGGUUUUAGCAGCUGGAAAAAAACAUCCCUCUUGCUCCCAGGGCUUGCUCUCGUAUCGCGGCAAGAUGUUGGGUGUAGAGGGCAGGAACAAACUGGGGAGCAGAUCCAUGCAGAUCUUCCUGUAGAAAUCUCCGGGGAUCUGAGAACUCUCCAACUUUGAAUGUCUCUUCUCUCGGUGCCUUCCCGCCAGUGAGACGGGCAGGUUGGAGGGUUGCAAACAUAAUUGUGAAUUAAGCACAUUUAACAACAGGAUCACUGACGUCUGCACGCGAAAGCGGCUGUUUCUGACAUGCUUCCCCUCUCCCUUUUUCUCCUCUGCCUCCAGCCCAGGCAGAGAAAAGCAUAAUUUUCAGCAAGCGCAUUACACAACAUUUGUCUUGUUCACUCCUUCCUCUUUAACAAUUUUUAUGGGGGUUGCUCAACACGUUCUAAAAUAGGACUGGAGACGAUAUAAUAAAGUGCUGAACCGAUGAUAUACGCGGCAGUUUAUGCUGUCAAUGGCAAAUUCAAAAGAAAGGGAUGCAACACGCUCCAAGUGAAGAAAUGCAAGCCCGUGCCCUAUAAGCACAGAGUGAGAGGCAGCCAGGGUAUUUUUGCACGUAAGGCUUUUCCAAAGAGGUUGACGGGGACAGAAGCGAGAUUAAUUGCACUAAGAGAUACUGGACAAAUUUCAGAGCCACGAGUGGCUCCGCGCUAUCAUCGGAGGCAAAAGAAUAGUUAUUUUGUUUGGUUAAUAAUUAGAGCUGUGCUUUCGAUGGGGCUGCUUUAAAGGGGUGAAAUGUAGAUGGUAUCAGACCAGCAAGUUCGGAAAUUAACUUCCUACUCACCAAACAUCAUGGAAUAAGGAAGGCUUAAAAGAAAUGCAGAUUAAUCACCAACUUUUUUUUUUUUUUUUUGAUCUCUUUUGUCCCUUUACCACUGUCUGAAAUAAUUUCCACAAAUAGGAGACGUUUCACAGUGGGUAUGAAGUGCUCAGCUUUCACUCAUCAAACUUUAAUCGGAACUGCAUUUUAGUUUUUGAAUAAAGAACACUUAAAAAAUUUAGAUGCAAAUUAUUUUGCAUUAUUCAUGCUCUAAGUGUCCUUGUAGAUUUAAACACUUCUGAGGCCACCUUGAUUCAAGUAAUUACCUAGGCCCUCACUGCUCCAUCAUGAAUAAGGUAUUUUGUACAAGUAAAGUAUGCACCCGAUGAGCUUUUAAAGUGGCUUUACACUGAACUUGUGUAUUGCUUCUCCUGCAUGAGUGGUUCGAACAUGCCUCGCAAUCUGUCUCAGGUGGGAAAUCCUGGCAGAGCAUCCAUGAGUGACGGAAGGAAGCCUACCAGCCUCGGCGCACACUAUUUCUUUGUCUUCGCAGAAGAAUCUCAAAGUGAUUCUCUCGCUCGAGUCUUAUGGCUCCUCUUGAAAGUCUGAGGGAGCAAUAGCUGCUAGGAGGGAGAGAAAUGACAGUCAUUUUUUGGUUAACUCUUCGUUCCCCACCCCGGCACCCCUCCGCCUGCUGCCUGUGCUCAGUCACUUAAGGCAUUCACAGAAGAUAAUAUAAGUCUUCCUACUUUUAUGUAGCAUUGUACAUCUGCCUCCCCAUCUGUCCGCUCAGCCUCCCUCCCCUACAAGCUCUAGGUACCACCUGAGCGGGAUUUUUCACACAAUAGAGCCAGCCCAGCCCCGAGCAGCCUGCCUGGGAGUUGCUCCCAACAAAAUUGGCUGUGGGAGGGCAGGCUAAGCCUACAUCUACACAUAUAUUGCCAGCAAAAUGAGCUUGCAAGAGUUAAAUUUAAUUGGCUGAAUCUCAUAGUUGGCGUUUGUUGCAAAGUGCCCAUAGUUUUUUGUUGUUUUUUUUUUUUUUCUUCUUUUCCAGCUACAUUGCUUUGAAGAAUUAUAGGAAUUUUAUGAUGUGCUAUUGGAGUUCCACUGGCAGAGAUUACAGUAAAGGGGUUAAAGUUGGUUUACAUUAAAAAAAAUUAUGCAGAAACCAAUAAAAAUAAACACACUCCAGUAGACUAAACUUGCUGGGCUUUUAGUUUUAGCUUAACAAUAGAAGUUUAGACGACAUCCAACAUUGCAGCUUUUAGAAAAUUAGUUGACACUCACAGUUGAUCAUCUUUACUACACAGCGGUAUAAUUAAUAUUUAAACAUUCUAAUAAUGCAGCUUGCUUUGCAUGCACUUUUCAGCCCCACUACAAUAUAUUUUAUCAGGAAUACUGCUAGCUUUUUCUUAGGUAAUGUCAUUUUUAAAAGUUAUAUUUAAAAUAGGUUAUUGGCUUCUUGCUCAGUGCAAAAGAAAUAUCAAUAGGCCAAUAGGCAGGUUUCAUAUGUCAGUUUGUGAUUAAAGUCUGUCUUUAUUGAAGACAAUAGAAAAUAUAUAAGGGGCUACUUCAUUGCCAUCAUCAUAAAAUAAAUAUACCCAGAGACUGUUGGUUUAGUUGGAAUUGGUCAUCUUUCUUCAUGCUUUCUAUAAUAAGAGGAACUUUUAAUAUCUUGAUACAGAGCAAAGUGAGGCAAUGCCCCACAGAUCUGUGAAAUACUGCACCUCUGACACCCACUCACUGCCAGAAAGCCUUUAAUAAAGAAGUCAGACAAGUAAAAAAAAAAACAAACCUGAGAGUUUUCACUUAAGUGUUGUCAGGGUUAAGCCUUCUGUCUGCCUGGCAUUUGAGUAAAAUUGUGAGAAAUGGUCAAAAUGAGAAGGGACUGUGCUGGUUUAUUUACUUAGGAGAGUUCUUUCCUUUUCAGGCGAGGCAGGGAGGAAAAGUUGUUUCAGGUGCUUUGCUCAUCAGCUUAAUCUGCCUGAUUAGUGUAAGGUGCCCUUUAUUUCUUGAGUUAUAACUUCUAGCAGGGGAGGCUGUUGUUCUCUAAACUGGUCUGGACUCUUCCAGAGUUUUCUCCUGGAGUAUUUCACACCCAUGGGUCCUCCUGAUGCCAGCCAGGAGGUUGGAGCUGCCUGGCUAUUAUUAACCCCUGUAGAUGAGUGGGCACCACUGGCAAAAUCCAUUCCCAUGGCUCCUUUAGGCUGAUCCAAGGAAAAAACCCAAAACCACAUGGGCAGGUCAUAAAUACCUAAACUCUGGCUGCUGUGUCAUGCAAGGAGGAUCUCCUGAAUUUCCCAGCUGGAGAAAGCAUCCUGCAAAAUGAGCUCCUGGUAUAGCCCUCGGCCUUGCAGCUAUUUAGUGGGAUGCUCAGAGUGUUUUUUUCACAAGAGAUGGGUUUUGUUAGGCAGGCCUGCUCUGGGUUGCAAAGGUGCCUGAAGCUCAGCUGAGAGCCCAGCCCUGGGUUUUGUCACGUUUCAUUGCAAGUUUGAAAGCAGGCCUAUUUCUAUUAAUGCUGUUAAUAAGAGACAUAUGUUUUGUCAAGCAAAACCACCCUUUCAUUAAAACGGAGAAUAAUUUCAUGCUUUUUUUUUUUUUCUUACAUUCAUGCAAAAAUAGCCAUUUCCCCAACAUGUCCCAAAAAGCUAAGUUGGAGAGUGUGUGUGCAAAAUUUUACCAAGCCACAGAUAUUCCCAGGCCAGAUACCACUAAACACAAACUCUCAGCGCCUCACCACUUUAAGCCAGUCCUAGGGCCUCAGCCUAAUUGCCUGGGAGGCAAUGGGAGUUUUUAAUUUACUUAAAAAGUAGCAGAAAUGGGCUUUAAACAUUUUGUGUGUGCAGUGACCGUAUGACUGACGCCAUGAGAUCCAUAGCAUGUGUGAAAAUGGAUUGCAUAUUGCUGGGAGCUUUCCCUGGGCUCUGCCAUGGAUCGCCUCAUGUCACGUGUGCCUGAGAAGAAUUUGGGGAUGGGGUUUGGCUGGGAGGUGUCUCUGGGUGUAAAACAAAGUUGCCUUGUCUUGGAAAAGGGCGCGUGGGAGCCGCGCUGCCGCGUGCGCUCCGUCCAUAGGGCAGGGGUGGAAGUGGGAGUUUUAAGGAAACAGAUAAACAGCACAUAGAAAGUGCUUUAAAAAUAGGGCCAUAACUUCCAGCCUCGCCACGUUGUGACCCGAGUUAUGGGUGAGAACUGCCCUGACUUGUACUUGUCAAAAGAAACCAGAGCUGUGAGAUGCUGCGAUAGAGACUUUUGGGGUUGAGUUGGGAGCAAACCACCUCCCGUGGGGUGGCUUGCUUCUCCUUUAUCAGGUUUUGCUCAGGAAGGGAGUUACACACACCUUGGCUGCAAAUAACUAGAAGAGCGUGAUCUAUUUUAAACCUGCUGCUGAGGUGGUAAAGAAAAGAUAAGUUGAAACCUAACUGCUAUCUUGCUUGUGUGUGUGACAGAUAUGGCCAGAAAUGGAUAAAAUUAAAAGCAUUUUAUUUUUCAUAUGCUAAUAGCAACCUGGAUGAGGGGGAAAACACAGAGAACGGAGCAGCAAAGUCAAGAGGUUUCUAUCAAGUAUAUUUCUCCCAUUACCUAAAUUAUAGGACUCCUUUCCCCAAACUGAUAUACAUAUUUUGCGUCUAAAAGCAAAUUCUAUAGUAGAGUUUGAUUUCAGCAUCAACCUUAUGGCAGCCAUGUGGGAGUGAGAUUAUGGGACAUGUGGAACAAAAGUCUUCCAGCCAGAGGAGGCCUUCUGAGCAUAAUGAUUCUUAUUUAAAUCAGUCUAUGUUUUAUUACUCAGCUGGGGAGGGGGGAAGGAAACCAAGGAAAAGAAUAUUUCUUUAAAACCACCGUCACCUGAAUUGCAGAUGAAGAGAAAUUAAGUAGUUUUCAGCCUGCAGAAUGGACAAACAUUUUCAUAUCAUAAUAAUAAUUUCAAGCAAUCCUCAAUUUUAUUUUUUGGGUUUUUUUUUUUAAUUUUACAUUUAAACUUGUUUUUCCUGUUGGCGUGCCUGCCGAUUCAUUUGUAAAUGUGCUUUAAAUUCCUUUGUAUAUUACAAUGAAUGCCACCUCUUUAAACGCUCUUAGUAAUUUAGCGAACUUCUUUGCCAGUGGGUGAAAGUACAGUAUUGUACAUGCAUAAGAAAAGGUACAUUCAUUAUGCUUCACGUAUGAAAAGGUAUAUUAGGAACGGUUUUGCUUAAAGUGGAGGGGUGAAUGGAGGAGCCCCUGAUCCAUCAUAGGGCUUUUGCAUGUGUGAGAAUGUGUCUCUGUGAGCCCCGACGUCCCGAAACGCGGGUUGGGAACCUACCGGCAAAUGUGUGCCUGUGAAACCUGAGAAGAUUUAUAACAAGUAGGUAAUCGGUUCAGGCCCAUGCGAGGGGAGCGGGAGCGAAAAGCUCACGCUGGGGCUCAACUGGAGUUUUAAGGAGAGGGACAGAAAACCUCAGGGUCUGGUUUCUCCCAUCUCUGUCCAUGGCUGUCACCAGGCUCCACGCUGUGCCAUGGGAAAAGGUUUGUGCCAGGCAGAGGCUUGGGAUACUCCUGUGAUUUUAAAUGUGUCUUGGUGUCGGGGAUGAUGCCUGGAGCUUGCCACACAACCCAUUUGUGGUGUGCCAUAGGUGAAGGGACAGAAGUGAGGUGGCCCUGGGAGCCUGGUCUUGCACUGCUUCCCACCUCCAUCCCACAGAUCCUGGCUCUUUCCACGUGAAAAGGAAGGUUUAGUUAAUGGAAUUUUCCUUAGCGUGAAAAAUACAUCUGUGCUGUGAUGAAAGGUAGAGGGUGGAUAUGGCCAGGCAGGGACAGCAUCUCUGAGGAGUGCAUGGCCACACUGAAACAGAUCCUGCUAAUUGACUCCCCCUUUUUCUUGAGACCCCUCACUUCAGUAAGGUGAGUGGGAUUCAGGCCCUUGGUUCGGCAUUUCUGUGAAGAACAACCACAGCCUUGCGGAGAGGGUUGGUCAGUUUAUGGCCAAUAAACAUAAAAGUUGAGAGGGUUUCAAUGAAACAUUAUUCUCCAACCAGAGGUCAUUCAUUUUGCACUUACUCCUUUAUGUGGUUUCUGAAAGUUUAAUUUUAAGGAGAGGAUGUGGUACGCUCUGUUUGUUUUCUUUCUCUUUCCUUCUCUUUCUUUCUUUCUGAGCUCCUUACUUCGAAUUAAUUUCAGGGAAACGCGUGCGAAUGCUUUCCAGUGGCAUGCCAGCUGUCAUUUUUCGAUCAGAGUGUAGGGGGGAAACACAGAGUUUACUUACAAGACGCAAUUUUAAGCUUGAUUCAUUGAAAUAAGUGUCACUGUAAGGCAGGCGAGGCAGAGCUAGCUUUCAUUAACAUUCUUCAAUUCUGGAGCCCAUCAGGAGGUAGAUAAGGUACCACUGGGUCCAUCCACCUCCCGGACCACAGGAGGACAAUGCCAGGAAUGUUUGCAAUGUGUUUCUAUUUUUGUCACACCUAUGUGUGGCCAUCCAUCUGGUCUUAAUCAAUCAGUCUCAUCCUGGAGCUUUGCUGUUCUCCCAGCUGAAAUAAUACACUUCUUCAGCAAGAGCUGUGCCUCAAGGAGGGUCACUACUCACCAUUCCCCAGACAAGGCAUAUUAACAAGGCUUACAUAUUUGUAAACAUAGGUAAACCCAGGAGGGGUGGUUGGGAAGGAACAUUUUGAAAUAUGAAUAUUUUAUGAAUAAACCACUGUGUUGUUUACUUAGCGAUAUUACACAGGAAAACUUGAUGAAGUACUAGAGGUAAAUUUGUUUUAGCAAAAAAACAACAACCUCAACCCCUCAGAAGCACUGAGACAAAGAUAAAUGAUGAAAGAGAGAAUGAUCCACCAUCCUGUUCAAGCAGAGGUAGCAUAUAUAAAGUAUGUUUUUGAAAGAGCAGAGAAGUGGGUGGUGAACACUGUAAAGUGUGCCAUUUAUUUAUUUAGAUUGCACAUCAGGAGAUAAAACAAAUGAAAACUCUGACUUGUUAAUAAUUUACAUAUAAGUGGAAAAUUCUUACAUGCUGUUAAGAUACCUCCAAGACCUGACACUGCAAACGCAAAUAAUUUACAUUCUUUGUGUGCACACAACUUCUCUGGAAGAAGAAGAAAAAAAAAAAAAAUCAAAUAUGUGUUCAGGGGCGAUGAAAACCAGGAGACAUUAUAAUUAUGUUUAUUAAUUUCGGAUGCCUCUUUUGAAGCAUUCAUGGAGCUGACCUUCCCCAUUCAUCAGGUGUUCCUGGCUGAGAAUCUGCUGGGCCAUACCUCCCAACCUAGGAGGUAGGAGAUGCAAAGAGGGGGGAUUUCUUUUCAAUAAGCAGCACUAUUACUUCUCCCCCGAACAGCUUAUGCAAAAAGUUUUGUGGGGGAGAAAAAAAAGGCCCAGAAAAAAAAAAAAAAAAAAA